GACGAACGCUGGCGGCGUGCUUAACACAUGCAAGUCGAACGGAAAGGCCCUGCUUGCAGGGUACUCGAGUGGCGAACGGGUGAGUAACACGUGGGUGAUCUGCCCUGCACUUCGGGAUAAGCCUGGGAAACUGGGUCUAAUACCGGAUAGGAGCCAUUUUUAGUGUGAUGGUUGGAAAGUUUUUUCGGUGUAGGAUGAGCUCGCGGCCUAUCAGCUUGUUGGUGGGGUAAUGGCCUACCAAGGCGGCGACGGGUAGCCGGCCUGAGAGGGUGGACGGCCACAGUGAGACUGAGAUACGGCCCAGACUCCGACGGGAGGCAGCAGUGGGGAAUAUUGCACAAUGGGCGCAAGCCGGAUGCAGAGACGCCGCGUGGGGGAUGACGGCCUUCGGGUUGUAAACUCCUUUCGCUAGGGACGAAGCUUUUUGUGACGGUACCUAGAUAAGAAGCACCGGCUAACUACGUG
rnacentral:rRNA from 1 species